rnacentral:rRNA from 1 species
UAAUACGUAGGGUGCGAGCGUUAAUCGGAAUUACUGGGCGUAAAGCGUGCGCAGGCGGUUUCGUAAGCUGGAGGUGAAAUCCCCGGGCUCAACCUGGGAAUGGCCUUCAGGACUGCGAGGCUAGAGUGCGGCAGAGGGAGGUGGAAUUCCACGUGUAGCAGUGAAAUGCGUAGAUAUGUGGAGGAACACCGAUGGCGAAGGCAGCCUCCUGGGCCAGCACUGACGCUCAUGCACGAAAGCGUGGGGAGCAAACAGGAUUAGAUACCCUGGUAGUCCACGCCCUAAACGAUGUCAACUAGGUGUUGGGGAAGGUGACUUCCUUAGUACCGCAGCUAACGCGUGAAGUUGACCGCCUGGGGAGUACGGCCGCAAGGUUAAAACUCAAAUGAAUUGACGG